rnacentral:tRNA from 1 species
GCCCUGGUGGUGUAACUGUUAAGUACUUGGCUGCUAACCAAAAAGUUGGUGGUUCAAACCCACCCAGCGGCU